GUAUUAUUAAAACAUGUUAAUUUAGAUGUCUUACUCUUUAUACUCUUCACACAGCCAGCUUGUAUGCAUGUAUAAAGCCCAAGAAAACCCAGUUUAGAUUUAUUUAAUAAUUAAAAGUUACUCUCUGAAAAUAAUGAAUGAAUCUGCAAAGAUGUUGGUUAACAGGUUUCCUUUGGACACAGGACCAAAGUUGGGCAGGACUAGUUGACUGCUCCUCAUUACUUGCCAGUCAGAAAAGUUUGGAAAAUCUGGCUAAAUCUUACCUACACCUCAGAUGAUGAAAGAGAUAGGUAAACUAUUUCAUUUUAUUAUAGUUGAUUCUUUAAAAAUUUUCUUAACC
rnacentral:lncRNA from 1 species